rnacentral:rRNA from 2 species
GAUUUCUGGUUUGAUGUCCCUGUCCCUCUUGGGUUAACCAGGCUGUGUGACGGAGUAUGUCUGCCAUCCUUCUAGAGAAUACAAGCUAUCCUUUACUGGACCGGCAAGUGUCAUCUAGAUCUUUUACUUUGAAAAAAUUAGAGUGUUUCAAGCAGGCGUUUUGCUAUGAAUACAUUAGCAUGGAAUAAUGAGUUAGGACUUCGGUUCUAUUUUGUUGGUUUCUAGGACUGAAGUAAUGAUUGAUAGGGAUAGUUGGGGGUGCUAGUAUUCAGCGGCCAGAGGUGAAAUUCUUGGAUUCGCUGAAGACUAACUUAUGCGAAAGCAUU